rnacentral:rRNA from 1 species
UACAGAGGUCUCAAGCGUUGUUCGGAUUCAUUGGGCGUAAAGGGUGCGUAGGUGGCGCUGUAAGUCGGGUGUGAAAUUUCGGAGCUUAACUCGAAACUGCAUUCGAUAACUGCGGUGCUUGAGGACUGGAGAGGAGACUGGAAUUCAUGGUGUAGCAGUGAAAUGCGUAGAGAUCAAUGAGGAAGACCAGUGGCGAAGGCGGGUCUCUGGACA